CGUGUCCCUGAGCGACACCAAGCUGUGCCCUGUGCGGCACCCGGCCGUGCCCUGCCGCCGCAUGCUGUGUCUUUGUAGACACACCAGAACGCUACAACCUGAUGCUAGGGAUGCUACAAAAUUUAGGCAAAGACAAGAAAAGGCACCCUCCGCAAGUUCCCAGAUACAUGGUGGACCAAAUUGACUGGACAAAGGCAAGAAUAA
rnacentral:lncRNA from 1 species